rnacentral:rRNA from 1 species
GACGUAGGGCGCGAGCGUUGUCCGGAUUUAUUGGGCGUAAAGAGCUCGUAGGCGGCUUGUCGCGUCGGCUGUGAAAACCCGCGGCUCAACUGUGGGCGGGCAGCUGAUACGGGCAGGCUGGAGUUCGGUAGGGGAGACUGGAAUUCCUGGUGUAGCGGUGAAGUGCGCAGAUAUCAGGAGGAACACCGAUGGCGAAGGCAGGUCUCUGGGCAUUAACUGACGCUGAGGAGCGAAAGCAUGGGGAGCGAACAGG